rnacentral:rRNA from 1 species
CAAUAGCGUAUAUUAAAGUUGUUGCAGUUAAAAAGCUCGUAGUUGGAUUUGUGGUUUGUCCGUUCGGCUGGGCCUUUAUUGGUCUUUGCUGUGUUGGUCAUCCAUCCUUGGGUGGAUCCUGUGUGGCAUUAGGUUGUCGCGCAGGGGAUGCCCAUCGUUUACUGUGAAAAAAUUAGAGUGUUCAAAGCAGGCUUAUGCCGUUGAAUAUAUUAGCAUGGAAUAAUGAUAUAGGACCUUGGUACUAUUUUGUUGGUUUGCGCAUCGAGGUAAUGAUUAAUAGGGACAGUUGGGGGUAUUCGUAUUCCAUUGUAAGAGGUGAAAUUCUUGGAUUUUUGGAAGACGAACUACUGCGAAAGCAUUUACCAAGGAUGUUUUCAUUAA